UAAUAAAUAGCCUUUUAAUUGGAGGCCAGUGAAUGGCAAGACUAGGGACAUCUGUACCCUGUAUAUAAAAACAACUUUUCAUCUGGGUGAAAAGACCCAAAUAAUAAAGGAAGACGAAAAGACCCCGCGGAACUUUACCUUUUCCAGUCCCCACAUGCUCAGAAACAUAAGAACAAAAGGUUUGAUUGGGGCAAUCUCGGAACCAACCAAACUUCCGAUUUAUAAAAAAAGUAUAUAAAACUCAAUAAGGACCAAAAAGAAGUUACCCCGGGGAUAACAGCGUAAUCCAACUUGAGAGUACACAUCGAAAGUUGGG
rnacentral:rRNA from 1 species